GGGGAUUUAGCUCAGCGGCAUAAGUACUUGCCUUGCAAGCAGGUGGUCGUGAGUUCAAUCCCCA
rfam:Cavia porcellus supercont2_2 genomic scaffold, whole genome shotgun sequence.